GCAUCCUUUAAAAAGUGGAAGUUAAAUCCUAGUGAGGAAAAUAAAAAGGAGCAUAAACUCUGGCAACUGAAGUGUAAAAAUAUAAUUAGUAAGGCCAAAAAAGAAUUUGAAGAACAGCUAGCUAAAGACUCAGAAAGUAACAGUUAAAUUGUUUAAGAAUAUCAGAAGCAGUAAGUCUGGUAAACAACCAGUGGGGCCACUGUUUUUGGGGAGAUUUUGGCAAACCGGUAAAGUGCCUAAACCACUAUCACUUGUUGCUAACAGUAGUCAAGUUAGCAGGCUAUACUGAACCAUUCUUGCUUAUUGCUAAAAGUUGCCAAGUCAGCAGGUCGUAAAUUGGUCAUGCAAAGGCCUCAGUGUAACCAAGAUAGGGGGGGAGGGAGUCUUGGGUGCCACAGACAGGACAGCUUGACCCCACGCCCUUCCUGCUAAGAGUGUUGAAAUUGCUGAUGCAUGUAUUUUAGAAAAACAAGAAGUCUGUUUAUAGUGCCCCCGGGAAUGUUUGUCAGGGCCCAAAGGCAUGGACACUCUGAAAAAAAAAAUCUCUGGCUAAUUGAUUUUCAUAAGAUGUUUGACCUUUUAACCCUGCUUGCUUAGCAAGUUUUCUUUAAGGGAUAUGUCAUUGUAUUACUAAUGUAUAAAUAAGGGGGAAAAGUUUGAGGUAAUUGGACUUCUCAGGAGGGGCUCUUCAGGGACGCUCCCUCUGGACGCAUCUUGGUCCCCCCCUGCAGAUGGAAACCUGGCCAGUAGAAGCCUGUUACAGUGCCACCUGAAAGCCACGCUCAGCUUCAGUAAUUAUCGAGGGUCGGAGGUGUUUUACUAACCUGCUGCAGACGUGUGUAAGUGCUUGAGAUUAAGUAAAGUUUAGCUUUAAGUGAAA